AACUUUAUCAGACUUUCUCCUCUCUUUCUCUCAGAUCUGGAUCGGAAGCGUUUGAACCACCGGUGGAGGAGACUAGGGUUUCGUCGUCCGUGAUGAAAGAUGUCUGGAGUGCUGAUGGUUUGAGAUGAAAUCAGAUGAUGAUGAACAACCGGAGAUGAAGGACAAACAUCAAUGAAAUUGAAAAUACACAGGGUUGAACACUGAUUUGAAGAAACCCUAACUGAAAGUUUCGUCUGCUCAUCUCUGUUGUGGGUCUUUUGGCUUUCUUCUACAUCAACGAUUAGCAAACACAAAGGGUUUUUUUUGCUGUGACAUAUGAGACAAGUAUUGGGAUCCUCAAUCGAUAAGAUUAACAAUUCAUGCGUUCUUUUUUUUGUUGGAGCUCUUGGAGAUUGAUGAAGGGUUUAAUUGUUUCAAAGUGUUUGCUUUCUGUUAAAGUUUUUACAUUGUCCCCUUACAUGGAGACCAAUGAAGGGUUUAUUUGAUUUUUCUAAAGUUGCAGAUAAGUUGGAUCCAAUUACUGCUCUGGUGUUCUCAUGGCAAAAGAUAGAAUUUGAAUUGUGGACUGCUUUACUUGAUGAAGUUCAAGCACGAUUUGACACUGAUGUUUGCCAGCUAUGGUUCCCGUUAUACUUGGUUCUUCAACAAGGUUGUUAUGAAGAUACCGAAGAUUGCACUGACAGUACAAGAAAUUAUACUGCGACACCUGUAAAGAUGACAUGCAGAGUUUGGAGGAGUUCAUUCGUACUUCCAGCAUUGGUGAAUUCAAAAGGCACCUUCAACUUGUUUAUGCCUUCCAUGGCCACAUCAGCACAUGGACUGGUUUCUUGAUGAGUUUGUUUAACUCACCUGAAUUAUUAAAGGCUGAAUGAAACAAGAGGGCAAUCCAGCAACUGGUGUCAUUAUUAUUCAAGUGUGUAGUAAUUGUGGUCUGAUUUUGUGUUGUUAUAGUUUACUUUCUGGUUUUCAGGUGUUUAUAUCAACUUUGUCAAAAAAAGAUGAAGAAAAAGUUAAAAUCAGAUAGUUAUGUCCCUGUUCAAAACUCAUGGGUGGAUGCAACUUUUUCAAGAGAAAGUGUAACUUCGAUUUUUGAAAGCUCAAUAAAGAAACAGGUCCAAUGCCCACUUAAAGUGGUAAAUAUGUGUUCGAGUAGGGACGUUGUUGUUCUUGACUUCUACUACAAGUUUGGAACUUAUGUCGUAAUGAUUUUAGUUUGACCUGCAAGAUUCUGCUGAGAUUUACUAAUUACAUUCUAAAUGACAGGGAUUAUGGACGAGGAUGUGAGUAAUCCAAAUGCAUCUGGAAGACGUCGAAUGACACUCAUUGGUUCUAGCCAAUGCAUUGAGGGUUGCAGCUGAAUCAGUUGUGGUGACAAUGAAUGCAGCCAUUGAGCUUGUUAGGCUCAUAUUGUCACCUAAAGAUCUUGAAGGGACAAUUCGACUUCCUUUCGUUACUCACUUUCAUGUUUCUGUAUGCAGGCAAAAUGCAGUGAUGAUAUGCCAAUGCCAACUUUAUUCCACUUCCUUUCGUUACUCGCUUUCAAAUUUUUUGCAACAGAGCAAGUACGUUACCACUUUUCUAUAACAGAACUAAUUAAUCAAUUAUCUUAGAUUAUAUAUAUGUGUUACGGUGAAUGUAAAUUAUGAACAAAAUGAUGCAGGAUGUAGGUAGUGGAUCUUUCACAUUCCAUACCCACUAAACAUGUAUUGUGAUAACGUGAAAUGUGAACCAGGGACAUUAUCGUUCACCACCCCUCGCACACCAUUGUCUCUUUAUACAAUCAAAAACUUACCAACGUAUUAUACAAUAUCUCACCAGAGGAUUAACAAAAUAAUAGAAAACGAGUACCGUGUUGUGAAUUGUCGGCGUUGCCGCAUCGCACGGGUUUCUAAUAAUAAGAUAUAAAGAAGAUAUAGAUGUUUGAAAAUUUAUAUACUUUCUUCUCCCAAUUUUGCCCCUCCUUUAUUAAAAUCCUCAUUUCCUUAUUUAAUAAGAAGUUUUCGAGUUAUCACUUUAACUAUGGGUUUUUAAUUGAACGCUUCCUUAACGUUAUAUAUAUAAAUAGUAGCAAACUUUCGUACAAACAUUGACACUUCCUUGAACUAAAUGUAGCAAAAAUAGUAUCGUUUGACACUUCUUGACACUUCCAUGCUUAGAUAAAGAGUAUAUUUGUACCAAAGUAUUGUGGAUUGCAUCAAUGCAGAUACGGUUCAUCCAAACAGAGUCGGACAACAGAUUAUACUGCCUACAUCUUUCAUCGGAGGGCCUUGCGACAUUCGACGCCGGUUUCUAGAAGUAGUUAAUAGUUUUAACGUUAAAUUAUAAUUUAAUAGGAAAUAAGUACCGCCUUGUAAAUUGUUGCGACUUUCGUCCAAAGUUAUGUUUUUUCGCAUUUGGAUCCAUAAUGUUCGAGUCAAAUGUUUGCAUUUAUAUAUAGUUAUUGAUGA